AUUGUUUUUUUUUUUAGCUUAAUUGUACUUAUCCUUAAAUAUUUGCAAUUUAAUUGACUUAUGUAGCACACUUAGACCCUGUCAAAGCAUUCACAACAAGGUACCAGAGUUUGAAGUAUUCCUAAAAAGCAAUAGAGCUCAUGUAAUAUGGGGCACAGAAAAUGGGCUAAACCUGACAUUAUAGUAGUGAGAUUUUUGGAGUAAAUCGGUGUUUGUAUUGAAAUGAUAGAGUAAUGAGAAAUGGAGAUGGUGUAUUUGUUGCAGGAGACAAGAAACCGAGGAAUAACCAGUGCUCCAGCAGGGGCAGCUUGACCUUGGCCAGUACUGACUGCUACUAACAUGCCAUCCCAGCAGAAGUAGACAUUAUUUUUGCAAAGUGGUUCCUAGAAUUUUGAUAAUAUUUUCAUUAUCCAGAUCCUAGUUAAAAAGACUUUUUACUUUGCUUACUAUAUUUUUGAUCCCCCUAGUAUCACUCUCUUCUUCUUUAUAAAUUGAAAUAUAACAACAGAUUUUAAUUUUUAUUCUUACACACAUCUAUAAAUGGUGGUGGAAGACAAUGCUUCAGGCAGUCAGUAGUAAUCAUCCAAAAGUCAGCAUCUCUGUGUCACUAUUAAAGUCCUAGUUUAGCUAUCAAAAAGUACCCAUAGUGCUAUAAUCAAUCAUGGGUGUGCAACAACAUGCACUUAAUCUGCAGGCAUCAAACAUUACGUUAACAUCAUGUAUUUAUGAAUCACGGUGUGGGAGAGACAUAUAUGUGUAUCAUAUUUGUGUAUCUUUGACCUAAUCUGCCAGUGACUGAAGCAUGAGUCUGUUCAUUAAUGAAUGUAACUUACUGAUCUGGUGUAAAUAUUGAGAGUUUUGACUGUUAAAAAGCUGAUAAUCAGAACAGGGAAACUGUGUUUCAGUAAAUGUGAAGGGCUGAAAACUACUUGCUGCCAUGUAGUAUAUGUAUUUUAACAAAUGCCAAUCCAACCCAUUAAUAGCAGGAGAGUGACCCAUGAUCACCAGAGGCCAAUUACCAGAUCAGACGAAGAUCAUGGGGAAACUGAGCUGAGUGCCAGGACAGGGCCUUCAGACUUUGUCAUCAUUCAUGAUUAUAAGCAUUAUGGAUGAUGAUCUACAGGAUGUGUACACCACAGGAAGUUUGGAGUUGAUUUUGCACACAGUUGAUAUGGAACUGAAGGUCGUCAAAAACCAGUGUAAGUGUGCAGUUUAUAGAUAAAGUUCAUAUGCCUCAGACAAGAUUAGUAAAAGAGCAGAGAUUUCUCUGAAUGCAGAUUCCAACAAAUUUUGAUUUUACCCAUGAGAAGUGAACAUACAACUGUGUUCAACAUGUUUUAUCUGAGAAUAAAUAACUAAAUUCUU